rnacentral:rRNA from 1 species
GACGAACGCUGGCGGCGUGCUUAACACAUGCAAGUCGAACGGAAAGGCCCUGCUUUUGUGGGGUGCUCGAGUGGCGAACGGGUGAGUAACACGUGAGUAACCUGCCCUUGACUUUGGGAUAACUUCAGGAAACUGGGGCUAAUACCGGAUAGGAGCUCCUGCUGCAUGGUGGGGGUUGGUAAGUUUCGGCGGUUGGGGAUGGACUCGCGGCUUAUCAGCUUGUUGGUGGGGUAGUGGCUUACCAAGGCUUUGACGGGUAGCCGGCCUGAGAGGGUGAUCGGCCACAUUGGGACUGAGAUACGGACCAGUCGCCUACGGGAGGCAGCAGUGGGGAAUAUUGCACAAUGGGCGGAAGCCUGAUGCAGCAACGCCGCGUGCGGGAUGCCGGCCUUCGGGUUGUAAACCGCUUUCGCCUGUGACGAAGCGUGAGUGACGGUAAUGGGUAAAGAAGCACCGGCUAACUACGUG